rnacentral:rRNA from 1 species
UACGAAGGGGGCUAGCGUUGCUCGGAAUUACUGGGCGUAAAGGGCGCGUAGGCGGCACUGUUAGUCAGGCGUGAAAUUCCUGGGCUCAACCUGGGGACUGCGCUUGAUACGGCAGAGCUUGAGGAUGGAAGAGGGUCGCGGAAUUCCCAGUGUAGAGGUGAAAUUCGUAGAUUUUGGGAAGAACACCGGUGGCGAAGGCGGCGACCUGGUCCAUUACUGACGCUGAGGCGCGACAGCGUGGGGAGCAAACAGG